AUGAGUACAAGACCCAGCACUCCAUUGUCCCAUGACCUUAUGACCCCCAGUGCCCUGAAACUCUGCACUAGGCCCAGGGAGAUGGGUGAAUCAGCCUCUCAACCUCUCUGGGCACCUCCCAUACUUCUUUCCAGCCUGUCUGUUCCUUAUCACAGGAUCCAGGCUGUGGAUGAGUGGCUGGUGAACAGGGGCCUGACACCCCCUAAAGGUCUCCUUUGUCUACAGUGUGAAAAGAUCCUGAAGCUCACGGCUGAUGCCAAGUUUGGAACCCAAGGCCAGCUCCCAACUGCUACCUCCAGAGCUACUCCAUUCUACCCCCAGAGCACGUGGCCAGCCUGUGCCCCUGUUAUGAGAAGAAACAAAGCACCUUGUAGAAGCACUUGGGGUCUGCAACCUACGCAGCAAGUGCAUCGGAGGCUGAACCCCUCUCCCAUCGAGCUUGGUGGCCAUCUGGCUGAUCCACUCUUCCAGGUGGACCCUCUCUCCUCACGUGGUUCAGGUCCCAUUGCACCACCUCCAGACAGGCCAUGCUAGCCCCAGGGCCUCCCUUCCCUACUACUCAUCCCCCAACCCCAGGUAUGUGCCACCUCCCUAAAGCCCGCUGUGUUCACCAACUGUUUGAACUCUGUCUCUGUGCAAGGCCUCAUGCAAAGCCUGAAGCAGCCUGGCUCGUAGAGGGCCAGGAGUCCAAAGCUUGAAGAGAGAGUGACGGUCUCCCAGAGCCCACUCGGUCAGCCUCAGCCCCAGGACUGUGUCCAUGCUGGUCCUGGCUCCAGUGAGCCAGUUGUUUUCUGAGACGCCUGUAAGGGCUCCUGUGGUGAUGGAGGUGGCUGGAGAGAACAAGGCUGCCAUAACCCUCCCUCCCUGAGAAGGCCCAACGGGGAGCGUUUUAGGCACAGGGCAUUGUGGGGGGCAUCUUCCAGGGACCCCUCCUACACGCUGCCCUGCCCUGGCUCUCUAGUCAGAAAUUGCAGUUGCUUGGAGAGUGGGACUGACCCAGGAUGAAUGCCUAUUUUAGGCUGGUCUUCGGGGUGCUGGGGUAGGGGCAGGGGUGCUUCAGGGAUAGGAAGGAGAGGCCUGUGUGUUCCAGAAGUGCAAAGGAACCUGGUGACAGCCGCAGUCAACCCCGAUGUGAUGAUCUUUCUGCCCACCCUCUUUGAUGUCUUGGAGCUGGUCGCUGUCUUUGGCCAGGUAAGCUCAUGGUCUGGGCUCCUGGGGUCUCCUCACUGGGCCUGCCUACUCCUUGCAGGUAGGGGAGCCUUUGGGCUGGGACUAUCCUUGGCUCCCCCUUCCAGGUCAUGGGUUCAAAGACCAUUCCUGGGUUCCACCACCACCAGGCCUCAAUGGUGUCCUGAUGGGCGCAGGAGCUGCUGGGGCUUUCUAGACUAAGACCCUUGCCUAUCUCUGUGUUCCCCAUUACAGUGGGUCUGCAGAAGUCGGCCUCAGUCUCUGCCCUGGAAGCCUGCCUUACCUUGCCCUGACUACCCCACACCCAGUGGCUCCGAUCUACUGUAGAGCAGCCAGGGCCCCCGUUGCUCACACCCUCUGGCCUGAGGAUGACUGGCUCUGUGGCUGGGUUCAGGGAGUCAGGGAGGGGGGUGGGCCUUGCUCUCAGCAGCCCCCAUUCCCACUCUGACCCCUUUUCAGUCUUCCUCCUCUUUUGGGCUCUACCCUGGGACCCUCCCAGCUCCUCACACCAGAUGACGGUCUAAAUAUCUAGAAAUCAAUAUUUUAAAUACCAAGUUUGGAUUGCUUCCUGACUUUUCCAUACCUGCUAAGGGCCAGCGUUUCUCUUAGGACUGACAGUCUCUCCAGCCCUACUAGGCUGGAUGAGGCAGGCGUAAGGGUGUCCCUUUCCCAGCCCUCUUUGAGGAGGGCUUCCAUCACCUUCCUGUGACCUGGCAGCAGGACCACGCUUCGGUGGCAGGAGGGGCAGCCCCAGCUGUGCCUAAGUCCUCUGUGUGGUCUAGCUGUGUAUGCUGAGGGGGGUCUUGGCCACCAUUUCCUCCUCUGUAAAUGAGACCCAUACCUGUGGCAUGGAGGGCGGGAGGCUGGUGUGAGUGCCAACCACUUGGAGCAGGGCCCUGAGUGAGCAUGGACGUGGGAGCAGGGGUGUUCCUCGACUUUAUGCACCUUGGGGGUGGGAGCGGGGCUCUCUGCGUGGGUUGACAAGGCAUUGCUUUUCCCCACCCGACCUCUGUCCCAGACCUGCAAGUCCGGUCCUUGGGGGUGUAGGAGGAAAGAAGCCCCUGGCUGUGAGUCCUCGAGAUGGACCCUGGCCCUCUCUGGCUCUGAGUUCCUGGGAAAGUCGGUGGUGUUGGAACUCUGGAUUCAUUCCUCAGCGUUGAGGCACUGUCUGUGGAAGCCGUGGGACAAGGUGAAGGUGGGGAGAGGAGAGGCUUGGAGUUUGGGUUUCAGCAGAGGGAUCAGCAGCGUGAGGGGUCGCCUGUGUGUAGAGGAAAGGGAGUGAAGGCCAGGAGUGAGGAAUGAGUCUGAGUGCACCCAGGAUGGUGCUGCGUCUCCUCCCACAUCCACCUGGCCCCAGGGAAGGGAGAAGAAAGGCUACGAGACAAAGGGGAAACUGAGUUGGGUCCAUACAUGUCCUUCCAGGACCUGGAGUUUCCACUGUCUGGCCCUCAGGCAGUGGGAAGUGGGGGAAGGAAGAUUCCCUCCCCACACCACCUGUUCUCUGUCCCAGGUCUCCUGGCCCCCUGUGCACCUAAGUUCAGUCUCUGUCGGCCCCCAGCAUCAUUUCUAGGGUUGGUGGGAGGCAGCUGGGAACAGUUUAGGGGUAGGUGGGGCCUGUUUGGGGGAGUCUGCUUGACUGCUUGGGCCACUGCCCACAGUAGUGGGGAGCUUUUCUGGCACACUGACUGCACCACCCAGGCGCUGCCAGUAACAGCCCCCAGGGAGUGUUUGCAGAAGGCCUUGGUGGGCGGUGGGGGUGGACCCCACCCAGAACAAACACCUGGGGUGGAGUCAGGGAGAACAGCCCUCCACUUACCUGUCUGGAGGGUCCUCUGUACCACACUGUGUGUGUCUACGCUC
rnacentral:lncRNA from 10 species